rnacentral:snRNA from 1 species
AGCUUUGUGUAGUGGCAGUAAUGUAGCCAAUAAAAUUUAUCCUAGGCAUGAUUAUUGUUAAUGGAAAACUUUUCCCAAUAUAUUUAUUCAGAGAGAUUAAAUGUCUUCUUAUAUAGAAAUUUUUAUCCAUAUUAUAUGACA